AUGCAUGAUUCAAAUGGCGUAGAGAUAUCAAAUAUCAUGUUUUUUGACAACGAGAAUUGUCAUCAAGACUUUCCCUAUCAAAAGAUACCAACUCUACAAUUGAAUCAAGUUUCAAAUGUUAUAGAUAACAAGGACAUCGAUGAUGAUGUUCAGAUUAUUGACAAUUUGAAACUUGAGCCUUUGAUGGAGCGACAUGCAAAAAAGAGAUGGCUUAUGCAUCUUCUUUAG